AGAGUUUGAUCCUGGCUCAGGACGAACGCUGGCGGCGUGGAUUAGGCAUGCAAGUCGAACGCGAAACCCCGAGCUUGCUUGGGGGAUUAGAGUGGCGGACGGGUGAGUAACGCGUAGGUAAUUUACCUUAAAGUGGGGGAUAGCUCCCGGAAACGGGAAUUAAUACCGCAUGUGUUCCCGCAUCUAUUUUAGGUUCAUCAUAAGUUUUAAUAUUUAUUGAUGGGUUUAAAAUAGGUGUGGGAUUAAAGAUGGCCUCUGUAAACAAGCUGUUGCUUUAAGCUAAGCCUGCGUCCUAUUAGUUAGUUGGUGGGGUAAUAGCCCACCAAGGCGAUGAUAGGUAGGCGGCCUUAACGGGUGGUCGCCCACACUGGGAUUGAGAUACGGCCCAGACUCCUACGGGAGGCAGCAGUCGAGAAUAGUCUACAAUGGGGGAAACCCUGAUAGUGCGACGCCGCGUGAACGAAGAAGCAUUUCGGUGUGUAAAGUUCUUUUCUAUAUGAUCAGUGCUGAUAAGUUGACAAGGUUUAUCAGAGGGAUCUUAGUAUAGGAAUAAGCCACGGCUAACUCCGUGCCAGCAGCCGCGGUAACACGGGGGUGGCGAGCGUUGUCCGGAAUUACUAGGCGUAAAGGGUAAGUAGGCGGGAUAUUAAGUCAGAAGUUAAAUGCAUGGGCUCAACCGAUGUACGGCUUUUGAUACUGGUAUUCUGGAGUAAGGUGGGGGAAGACGGAAUUCCUGGUGUAGCGGUGGAAUGCGCAGAUAUCAGGAGGAACACCGGAGGCGAAGGCGGUCUUCUAUACCAUUACUGACGCUGAAUUACGAAGGUGUGGGUAUCAAACAGGAUUAGAUACCCUGGUAGUCCACACAGUAAACGAUAUACACUAGGUGUUGGGGGAGAUAAUCUUUCAGUGCCGUAGCUAACGCGUUAAGUGUAUCGCCUGGGGAGUACGAUCGCAAGGUUAAAACUCAAAGGAAUUGACGGGGCCCCGCACAAGCGGUGGAGCAUGUUGUUUAAUUCGAUGCAACGCGAAGAACCUUACCUGGGCUUGACAUCCCGAGUCGUAUCCAGAGAUGGGUAUUUGCCCUUCGGGGAACUUGGAGACAGGUGCUGCAUGGCUGUCGUCAGCUCGUGUCGUGAGAUGUUGGGUUAAGUCCCGCAACGAGCGCAACCCCUAUUUCUAGUUGCCAUCAAGUAAUGUUGGGGACUCUAGAAAGACUGCCAGUGUAAUAAACUGGAGGAAGGUGGGGAUGACGUCAAGUCAUCAUGGUCCUUAUGUCCAGGGCUACAAACGUGCUACAAUGGUCGGUACAGAGGGCAGCGAAGCUGUGAGGUGGAGCUAAUCUCCGAAAGCCGAUCUCAGUUCGGAUUGGAGUCUGCAACUCGACUCCAUGAAGCUGGAAUCGCUAGUAAUCGCGUGUCAGCAUAACGCGGUGAAUACGUUCCCGGGGCUUGUACACACCGCCCGUCAAGUCAGCCGAGUUGAUUGCACCCGAAGGAGGUGAGCUAACCGU
rnacentral:rRNA from 1 species